CGGAAUUAGGGGAGAGGAUCCGGUGAGGAUUUCGGAGAGAUGGCAGCGUCCUGGGAGCCAUGUGAAGAUGGGGAGGGCCGAAAUCGCUCUCCCUCUUCACGGCAGGGAGACGCAGGAAGCUCUUAGGGUCGCUGCCCGGGCCGAGGCGUCGAGGCAACCAGGCAGACAGGGGUCUUUCCCUGACCUACUCCACCAUCUCCAAGGACCACGCGUCUCUGCUUUCCCCAUCCCUUCCUGGGAGGAGGAAAGGGCGUUGCCCUGCUGGAGCUUUCACCGCAGGGGCUUCUCCACACACACAGAGGCCUCUGGUCUGGCCGCACUGGUUUCCCCUCCCCAGGUGUCCUCGAGGUGGGGUAUCAGCACGAAGGAGGUAGGUUGACACGCAGCCAGUGUGUUUGUCCUGGAAGAUGUCGCCAAGUUGCCUCCAGGCUCUGGGAUCAGGGGGAGGACCUGGAGUACCCCGGGCAGGUGGGGAGUGAGGAGAGCAAGGCACAGAGAAGCAGCAAGUGCCCAAGGUGGGAUGAGAUGGGCUGGCCGAAGACAUGAAGGUCCCCAAGGGCCUCCCAAACUCAGGCAUGUGGCUCAGGGUCAUCUCCCCACCCAGACCCAUGGCAGUCUCCCAAGGGAUUUCAGCAGCCAGUCUCACUAACAUCUGGCAAGUCCUGCUUUGUGUGUUGCUUCAUCAAUCUGGUUGACUCUUCAGCAGGUUUCCAAAACACAGAGACUUGCGGAAAAUUCAUGCUGCUCCUCACGGCUGUUGCGUGUUGGGGACCCUCAUUCCUCUGUGACAUUCUUAUUCAAAACUCCUUAGGAGCCCAGUGCUCAUUUUCCAAAUGGAUACCAUCCCGGUGUCACUGUCACCAGAUAAACCUAUGGAGAGAGAAGAUGGUCAAAGGGACCUUGACAACCUCCCUUUAAAAACUGCCAGGCAGGAGCCUCCUCUGUAGAACCAGAGGAACGCCUACGCUGUCCUCCCCACAGGCCCAGCCAAGGGGCCAGCCGCAGGCUCUCAGUGGAAUGCCAGGACGAGGAGGACAGGACCAGCCACUUCCUCCAUCACUGUCACCUGCUGGCCAGGCGCAGGUCUCCAGGAUCAGUUCGGGAAGAAGAGCUCACAGUGCCAGUCUUGGUGACUCAGAUAUAGGGUCUGGAUGCACUAAAUCAUCUCCAGAGCUGGCUGCAGACUGAAGGCCGGAGAGGGGAUGGAAGCACCUGGGCUGGGGCAUUCCCACUCCAGCCAUGAACCCAGCAACUUGCUCCAGCAACCCAGCAAAAUGUUGGCUGCACAGUGCUGAGAUCAAAACAGAGUUCAAGCACUCCGGGAAUCUGACAUACUCGAUCUCUGAGAUUAUUAAGCACAGCGUGCUUCUCAGAACCUC
rnacentral:lncRNA from 1 species